UGUACACUCUGCUGCACACUCUGCUGUACACUCUGCUGCACACUCUGCUGUACACUCUGCUGUACACACUGCUGUACACUCUGCUGUACACUCUGCUGUACACUCUGCUGUACACUCUGCUGCACACUCUGCUGCACACUCUGCUGUACACUCUGCUGUACACUCUGCUGUACACUCUGCUGUACACUCUGCUGUACCAACCCUGUCUCACGGCAUUUUGUGUUAUAGUCACAAAGUGUAAUCUAUUGAUGUGUCUUGAUGUGAUUUUCCCUCUUUUUUUUCGUGUCACAGAACACAUUUAAAAACAAUGUAUUUCUAGAUGUUUGCAUAUCUGUUGUUGCUGUCUGUCUGGUCGUCUGUCUGUAUCUGUGUGUUGCAAUGGCAACAAAACAUAACCUGGACCCCAAUAAUCCCAACUACCAUGGCUCUUGAGAUUAAGCUUGGCCACAUGCUAGCUGGAUCUAAGGUUAGUACCGGUACUUUUAUAUCCAUCAUUCAUUUCAAACUUCACCAUGCAGCUGCUUUGCCUCACCACAUCUCGACCCAGUUUAAAACCUAUUAAAGAGGUUGGACUUCCUUACACCACAACACCAAAAGAGGAAGUGUUUUGUUUGAAUAAAAAGAAAUUGCAGAGUUUCAGAGUAUUGUUUCAAAGGCUUUUAAAGCUGUUUAACACCUAACCUACACAGCAUGUUGGGAUUUCUUUUAGUUUGUCAUCUGUCUUUUUGUUUCAGUAUAUGUUAAUCAAAGUUAAAUGAUGUUUUUACUUUAACACAGAAAGCAGCUGAGGAGAGCAAAAGAUCACGCUCUGGAGGAUGAGGGGUGGUGGCUUUCAGUUAUCCAGUGAGGAGGUUCCAGUUACUGGACCCUCAGCACAACUCAAUCCCAAAGAGGAAUUUGGUAAAUCAAAAGCCGUUCUAUAUAACAGUAAGUUUGUAAUUAACCAUAUACACAACUGACAUUAUAGCAAAUUGGUUACAAUUUAUUAAGGAUUCAGACUGAACCCAGAAAUCGUGUGUUUAUUUUUCAUAUUGAUCAAUUAAUCAUUAACGGUCAUUUUUCUAUCCUCCUUUUAUGGUUCACAUUCCUAUUUGUUUUACAGAAAAGAACAUGCAGAAGCUCUUGGCUAUUCUCUCAUCAUGUCCACUUGCUGAGCCUCCAAAAAGCUCUGCAUCAUCGCGGUCUGUUUCGGCAGCAGAAAGCCUCAGAUUUAAAAUAAAAAACAAUAAUAAUAGCUUGAUAUCGAGUAAGACAAAUAUUGAUAACCACACAGCUUCUGGUCUCUUAAGACCCGACCGAACUAAAAGGCGCGGUGCAGGCACGAAAUACAUAUUUUUUUAAAUGGGGAAAUCGUGCAGUGGACAUCUUUAAGUCGUCAUUCAAAACUCACUUGUUCACCAUGGUCUUUGACCCUUUGACACAGUCUCCCUGCUUCCACUCCCACUGCUAUUUAAAAGUGUUUGUUUGUUUAUUUUUAUUUUUGUUUUAGUGUUUUCCACCAUGUAAAGCAGCCCUGGGUCCCUUAAAGGCGAUAUUCACUUUUUAUCUUUUAUUAUUAUUAUUGUUAUUUUUGUUAUUAUGAUGAUGAUGAUGAUGAUGAUUAUUAUUAUUAAUAAUAAGAAUAAUUGCAAUUAAUUUGGAAGUCAGUGAAGAUAUUUGAGAAGAGAACAUUGACAUUUAGCAAUGCCUCCAACUCCCACCCUACUAAAUGAGCCUCAGCUGAUCUGCCCCGGAGGCAGCCCUGUCUUCAGAUUCUCUAGUCCUGCUGGAAUCUGACCCACUGAUGUUUGUGCUCCCGCAGGUCUUCACGCGCUGGAUGAAGACGUAGCGUUCGGCUGCCAGUAGAAGAAGAGGCAGAGGAGGCCGAUCAGAGGCCUUGAGGAGCCCCCGCAGAGGCGGUUUCGUGAGGGAUACCCCAGCCUUCCACCUCCUCCUCUGGAGGAGGUCUGGCUGAGUUCAGCCAGGACCCCUCCGGGAGCCUGUGGAGGGCCCCCAGCCAGACGGUGCCACAGCCCUGCAGCUCUUGUCCGAGCCCCCUGGUCUCUACCCCUCUGCUUUUGAUGCAGUUUUGAUGCACACACACACAAACAGCCUGCAUGCAUGCACACAUCUAGAAAUGUAUUUAAAAAUCUACCAAGUUAACAUAAUGUCUUCAUGACAGGGUAAGGGGGUUAGGGACACACUUAAUAUAAUAGUUAAAAAUUGUACUCGAAAAUGUAACGCGAGGUCAGGAGUGAACAGCACGAUAACAUAGUAUGUUAUAAAAUAUAAUAUAAGUCAUAGUACACUAUUCCAUUAAAAAUUCAAAACAGUAUAUCAAUGAAAAUCCAUAAAAUAGUAUCUAAUAAAAUAUGUAUUAUGUAUAGUAUUUCAUCACUAAGUAACAAUACAGUAUGUCUUAAAAUAAUUGAUAACAUAGUUUGUCAUCAUUUAAAAAAAAUAAUUUAAAAUAUCAUAGUAGAGCAUCUCAAAGAAUUAUUGAUAAUGUAGUAUGUCAUAAACACGUGUUGAUAUCAAAGUAUACCAUUCAAAAGACAACGUUUAUUAUGCCUUAAAAAAACAAACCUGUAAUAUGCUUUUGAAUUGUCAUAUAGUGUAGGUUGUCAUUAAAAAUAAUUGAUUAUAUAAUACGUCAUAAAAGCUCAAUAGUAAAGUAUACCAUAAAAAAGACAACAUGUAUAUCAUUUAAUAGUCCUAUAAUAGUACACCAAAAAAAAGGCCACUGCGACAUGCUUUUGCCAGUCACUAUUUUCUGUUUGUCCCUGAAGGUAUCACAGGAGCUGCAGAUUCAGAGCUGCUGCUCCAGAGUCUCAGCGGCAAAGCUCCACUCUCUUCCUCCUGGACUCACCCUGCAGCCUCUGCUCAUCCUGGCCUGUGGUUACUGAUGGACAUACUGAUAAUCUGUGGCUCUUUACAAUAAAUAAACC